AACCUCCGCAAUGUGAGAAAUCGCGACGGGGGGAUCCCAAGUGCCAUUCUUAACGGGAUGGCUUUUCAUUAGUGUAAAGAGCUUUUGGAAUAAGGGCUGGGCAAGACCGGUGCCAGCCGCCGCGGUAACACCGGCAGCUCUAGUGGUAGCAGUUUUUAUUGGGCCUAAAGCGUCCGUAGCCGGUUUAAUAAGUCUCUGGCGAAAUCCUGUAGCUUAACUGUGGGAAUUGCUGGAGAUACUAUUAGACUUGAGACCGGGAGAGGUUAGAGGUACUCCCAGGGUAGAGGUGAAAUUCUGUAAUCCUGGGAGGACCGCCUGUUGCGAAGGCGUCUAACUGGAACGGUUCUGACGGUGAGGGACGAAAGUUAGGGGCGCGAACCGGAUUAGAUACCCGGGUAGUCCUAACUGUAAACGAUGCGGACUUGGGGUUGGGGUGGCUUUGGGCUGCUCCAGUGCCGAAGGGAAGCUGUUAAGUCCGCCGCCUGGGAAGUACGGUCGCAAGACUGAAACUUAAAGGAAUU
rnacentral:rRNA from 1 species